UGCGGGAUGGCGCAGUGGUAGCGCGAGGGUCUCAUAAGCCCGUGGUCGCUGGUUCGAUCCCAGCUCCCGCAACCA
rnacentral:tRNA from 1 species